AGAGUUUGAUCAUGGCUCAGGAUGAAUGCUAGCUACAGGCUUAACACAUGCAAGUCGAGGGGCAGCAUUUCAGUUUGCUUGCAAACUGGAGAUGGCGACCGGCGCACGGGUGAGUAACACGUAUCCAACCUGCCGAUAACUCGGGGAUAGCCUUUCGAAAGAAAGAUUAAUACCCGAUGGUAUAAUCAGACCGCAUGGUCUUGUUAUUAAAGAAUUUCGGUUAUCGAUGGGGAUGCGUUCCAUUAGGCAGUUGGUGAGGUAACGGCUCACCAAACCUUCGAUGGAUAGGGGUUCUGAGAGGAAGGUCCCCCACAUUGGAACUGAGACACGGUCCAAACUGCUACGGGAGGCAGCA
rnacentral:rRNA from 1 species